GAUGAACGCUGGCGGCGUGCCUAAUACAUGCAAGUCGAGCGAACGGACGAGAAGCUUGCUUUUCUGAUGUUAGCGGCGGACGGGUGAGUAACACGUGGAUAACCUACCUAUAAGACUGGGAUAACUUCGGGAAACCGGAGCUAAUACCGGAUAAUAUUUUGAACCGCAUGGUUCAAAAGUGAAAGACGGUCUUGCUGUCACUUAUAGAUGGAUCCGCGCUGCAUUAGCUAGUUGGUAAGGUAACGGCUUACCAAGGCAACGAUGCAUAGCCGACCUGAGAGGGUGAUCGGCCACACUGGAACUGGAACACGGCCCAGACUCCUACGGGAGGCAGCAGUAGGGAAUCUUCCGCAAUGGGCUAAAGCCUGACGGAGCAACGCCGCGUGAGUGAUGAAGGUCUUCGGAUCGUAAAACUCUGUUAUUAGGGAAGAACAUAUGUGUAAGUAACUGUGCACAUCUUGACGGUACCUAAUCAGAAAGCCACGGCUAACUACGUG
rnacentral:rRNA from 1 species